UCGCUGUGAUGGCCGCCGCCAAGGCAGGAGUUUGGAGUUUCUGCUGUUCCGGACGGCUUGGGGGGCUCUCUGUAUCGUUAGAGGGCCCCCAGCAGCCCCCAGGUUGCCAAGGGCCUGUUAGUUGUGUGUUUGGGAGGUGGGAGAGCGGCCUGACGGGUUAAUUUGGUGGCCUACUGUCGUUAGAUUGGCCAGGGGGGCCUCUGGCGGCUACCGGCUCUGUGAGGGGGGCCACAACCUGUAGGACCCUGGCCGUUUGGCCUUCUGCCUUUGAAAUUUCGCUGUGGCUAGCGCCUGAGAGUUUUAGAGUCUGCUUUAUUUUGUUGUGCUUUGUGCCCUGCGCCCCUCCCCCUCUCUUACAGCGUUCCACCCUGUCGUUGUACUCUUGAUGCUUACGACCCUGUUUGGGGUUAGGUUGGGCUCGUUUUCGUGGGUCUGGUGGGAUUUAUGCACGAGCUGGGAUUUUGGAAAGGGUGGACAGCAGUAGCUUGGGUGUUGUCUCUUUUGUUUUAGGUGUAAGAAGUUGCAUGAGUUGUGAGUCUGUCGUUGGUGAGUGUGCGAUUCACUUUCUCUUGCUUUUGGUGAACUUUGCCCUUGUUUGCUAAUGCUGCGAGGCCGUGGCCGGCCGUUCCUGCUUGUGGAAUGCUUUUCUGUUAGCUUGAAUGUGUUGUUAAAUCUUUGAAAACUUCAGAGGAGUGUUUUGCAGUUGUUUGUAGUAAGGAACUGUGUGCAAAAAUGGAUAUAAAGCAAAUGCCAAUAUCACAAGUUCCUGUAGUUUUAGGAAGCAAGCCCCUGUGGCUUCUCUGGUGCUCUGAAGUUGUUUGGAAAGUUUUAUGGGAAUCAGAUUUACUUUUCCUUGUGUUAAUAUUACUCUUGGCUCAUAAGAUUCCUCUGCAGGUUGGGACAGUUUGACCUUUGUUAUUGGGUGUUUUCUCAGUAUCAGGCAAAAGGAGACACUGUGCAUUGCCGUUUAACUGCACCUGUUAACAUCUCAGGAUAACACCAGAUUGCUAAGCAGGUCAUCAGCUGCCUUACCUACUGUGCAAACUUGGACCUCACUAUUUCUGGUGUCUAGGAAGGUCUUUCAAGUUUGGUGAAGUAGGUGAUUUCAGAUAACGUACAGUAGAUGCUUUGGAAGUCAGGUAUCAGUUUUUAGAUUGCAGGGGCAGGCCACAUUACAGAAAUUAUUUAUAGAGAAAGUAAAAAAUAUGUUCCAUUUUUUUCUUGGUAUAAUUGAAAGCAUCUGAAACCUGUUUCUGUGUCAUUCCAUUACACCACUUCAUAUAUAAUUGAAAAGCCCUUUGAUAUUUUGUGAUGAAGUGGAUUAUAAUUUUGCUCUUGUCUGAGUUUGCUUAGUGCUUGACUAGUUGAGAGAUACUAAUGGUAGAAAAAGGAGGAGCGAAGCUCGAUGGGUUUGUAUGUGUGUUUCUUUUGAAGCAUGAUAUCAGGUUUAAAUUGGUAGACUGAUAUUGUUGGCUUGCUAAUCACGUAACUUCAGUUCUGCUGCUGAUGUAAUGUGUGUUUUGUAAUCCAUAAAGCCCUUUCCUUUCCUCUGACCUCACCCCAGUGUGUCUCAGAAUAUUAGCUAACUUUCCAUUUGCAAAAAAGAUUGAGACGCUUAUUUUUAAAUGAUCUAUAUUGUCCAUAUUGGUUAUGUUUUGGUGAUUUAACAGAAAAAUGAGUGAGUGCGUUUUGUAUCUCAGGAAAGCUGGAUAGCUGGAAGUUAUAGAUUUGUAGAAUCACUCAGAAGUAGUCAAAACCAAGCACAAUUUUCUUUGAAAAAUGAUACCUAAGUUUUAAACUGCCAAGUUACUCUGACUUGAGUUAAGUAGAACAAACAAACAGUUCAUAAGAAGGUGCUCUGAGAGUGGAUGGGUGUGUGUAAAUUUAGAGAUAAACUUAGUGCAUUUGCAAAGAACCCUCGUUCUUGGGACAUUUAGACACAUUUCUUCACUAAAUGGGGAGAGUUUAUACCCAAGAAUUCUAACAUUUAGCCUCUGAAUUCUUUAUUUUGUACCCUGAUUUCCAUCUCUACUACCGUAGUUUUGCUGCUGGUGUAAAAUGUGUUUUGUAAUACAUAAAGUCAGCAGUAGUUUUGAGAAAAAUAUAUCAAGAUCCACUGCCCAGUGGGGAAGAUAAUCCCUAAGGGUUUGUAUUGUGUAGAUGUGUCACAAGCUGUCCUUUUGAAGUUUAAGUUUGCAGGGGUUUGAUGAGACUUCUUUCAAUGAGACUUAAGCCAAAGGGUAACUUUCCUGACUUAGGCGUUAUUAGUGAAAGCCUUUGUUUCUGGUGUUCAUUCAAAAAAGAGACACAAACUUUGUUUCAGGUUCAGGUAUACUUUGUUUUAUUGUGCUUUACUUUGUUGCACUUUGCAGCUUUUGCAGGUCAUUUGUUUUUGCAGAUUGAAGGUUUGUGGCAUCAGUACCAUUUUUCCAAUACCAUUUGCUUGCUUUGUGUCUUUGUGUCUCAUAUUUGUAAUUCUCACACUGUUUCACACUUUUUCAUUAUUAUUUUAUUUGUUGUGAUCAGUGAUCUUUGAUGUUACUGCUGUGACUUGCUGAAGUUUCACAUGAGGGGUAGCGUCUUUUAGCAGUUGAAAAAGAAUUUUUAUUUUCUUUUUUGGCCAUGCCUUGUGGCAUGCAGCAUCUUGAUUCCCAGGCCAGGGAUUGAACCUGCGCCCCCGUACAGUGGAAGCAUGGAGUCUUAACCACUGGCCCACCAGGAAGUCCCAGUUAAACAUUUUUUAGUCAUAGAAGGUCUCAUGAAAUGUUAACCCCCUCAAAGGCCUGAACUUCUUGAGAGCUGAAACUGAACACCUUCUCAACUGAACUUAAAGGAGAAAUUAAGUGCAAUAUUUGGAACUACAUUUAAAUGAAGAUGAGGUAGAAGACAGAACUGUUACAAGUAUGUAAGUUUUAUUGUACAGACAAAUGAAGGCUUCAGCUCUGUUGUAUUCUUAAAAAUUCCUAGCUUCUAUGUAAUUCUCUAAUUAUAGAACUUUAUCUCAUUAUGUUGAACUAGUCCUGAUUUCACAUGAAAAUCUGACCUGAAACUCUGUUUACAUAAAUAUUGAAAAUGAAUUUAAAAUUAAAUGUGAAUAUUGGUAUAUUAAGAGAUACAAUUUGGUUGAUUCAUAUUUUUUCCAUGUUAAAAAUUAU